rnacentral:tRNA from 1 species
GGGAUUGUGGCUCAGUGGUAGAGCGCUUGCCUAGCAUGCAAGGGGCACUGGGUUUGAACCUCAGCACCA